GCUUCUGCACAUUCACUGCCAUCAUAAAGUUUCUCUCCUGUGACUUCUUUGAUAUUCAUUGAGCUCUGAAUUGCAUAGAAAUUUGCAAAGAAAACUUUUCCACAGUCAUUACAUUCAUAAGGUUUCUCCCCUGUGUGAAUUUUCUGAUGAGUUAUGAGGUGUGACUUCUGGCCAAAAGCUUUCCCACACUCAUGGCAUUCAUAAGGUUUCUCUCCUGUGUGAAUUUUCUGAUGAGUUAUGAGGUUUGGCUUCUGGCUACAGGCUUUACCACAGUCAUUGCAUUCAUAAGGUUUUUCAACCAUGUGAAUUCUCUG